rnacentral:rRNA from 1 species
UACAGAGGUCUCAAGCGUUGUUCGGAUUCAUUGGGCGUAAAGGGUGCGUAGGUGGCGCCGUAAGUCAGGUGUGAAAUUUCGGAGCUUAACUCCGAAACUGCAUUUGAUACUGCGGUGCUUGAGGACUGGAGAGGAGACUGGAAUUCACGGUGUAGCAGUGAAAUGCGUAGAUAUCGUGAGGAAGACCAGUGGGCGAAGGCGGGUCGUCUGGACAGUUCCUGACACUGAGGCACGAAGGCCAGGGGGAGCAAAACGGGG